GGAAGAAUAGCUCAGUGGUAGAGUGCGUGCUUAGCAUGCAUGAGGUCCUGGGUUCAAUCCCCAGUCCCUCCA
rnacentral:tRNA from 1 species